rnacentral:lncRNA from 1 species
UUCACAUCACAUGGGUAAAAGUUAUUUCGGAUUUCGGACAGCGGUUCGGAUCCUACAUAAGCCAGCAAAAGCGUCCUCCUUGUUGCUGUUGUGUUUGUUCCGUUCCCUCCGAGUCCCUUCACUUGGCACAUCUGUUCAAAUUGGAAAAUGUAGGCAUCCCAGGUUGCUUUAUUCCUGUCAAACGCUUCGAACUGGAAUCGCUCCAUUUUCUUCUCGAUCGUUUCUAGAUCGUCGGCUGCCAUCUCUAUUUUUCUUUCGUCCCUGUUCGGGCGCCAAUUAUGUAGUAUCUGUAAUAGUUAUUCA